AGGGAGGAGGUGGCUUGUGGUACCGGGACUGGCGGUUACUUCAUGAGUUGUGGACUGGGAGAACAGUGAUUGGAACUCAUCAGCGGCUAUGUCUCUGAGGGCUGAUUUCCGAGCAGCUGAGGAAUAACCGUUACUUCUGUACUUUACCUGGAAUGUGCCAAGAUGUAGGUGGGGAAACUGGCGGAGAUCAAGGCUUACGGCACUCUGACAAUUACAAAGUAUAAAAGAGAACCUUAAUGAAUGAAAACAAUGUAUUAAAAAAGGUAACAAAAACCUAAGUAGAAAAACAUAUGGCGUGGGAAUAAUGCUAACAGUACACAAGUCAUCUGCAUGCAAACGGACAGGCUACAUAACCAUGCACAAAAAAAAUCACCUUACAUUCUUACAGCGCCAUCUUGUGGCCAGCACUAACAUGUAACUACAGCAAGACAAACACACAUGGUAAUGUUAACAAAAGCAUCAUUACACUCCCAACAAAUGGUGAAAGCAAAGAAUAAAUCAAUUUAGUGAAAGGAAAAUAAACUCCCAAG